CGGACGGCCCCGGACGCGCAGGGGCUGCACUGCGCUCUUUGACCAGUAGAAAAAGGCUCUGCGGCAGAAGUUUUAUUUGGGGGUUCUUUUUCCUUUCUGGUAAACCAUCAUUGCCUUCUGCCUAGAAUGAACGCUCCCAUUUUAUUGGGUUUAAAUAUAAUGUCAGAGCACUGAGUUCAUGGACAUUGCAGAAGAAAGAAACUUGCAGCUUUGCAUAAUCUCUAUAUAGCAACAACCCCUCCUGCCUGAAGAGCACACAGUACCUCAGUGUUUGGCAGCUGCAGUGCUAGGAGUUGGCCCUUAGCUUGCUGCGAGCACAAGAAGUCUUCCAGAGCCUGGAUUGCUUCUGUGUUGGGAAGAGAAUCAAAUCUCAGAGUUGUGAGGAUUGUAUGCUGUGCAAAUGUGGCAGCACUGUGUAAACUGCAGAACUAUUGACAUAUUGAUAGGCAAUUACUAAUGCAAUAAUUGAGUGCCCAUACUGUCUGGCCUUUUGAGAGGAAGAUUUUCCUUCAGGACUUUCUAUCUCUGGAAAGAGCAAGUGAAUAAAUUCAUAUCCAAAAUAAA